CCCUUCUGACAGAUACUGACGCUGAGAUGCGAAAGCGUGGGGAGCAAACAGGAUUAGAUACCCUGGUAGUCACGCUGUAAACGAUGUCGAUUUGGAGUUUGUUGCCUAGAGUGAUGGGCUCCGAAGCUAACGCGAUAAAUCGACCGCUGGGGAGUACGGCCGCAAGGUUAAAACUCAAAUGAAUUGACGGGGGCCCGCACAAGCGGUGGAGCAUGUGGUUUAAUUCGAUGCAACGCGAAGAACCUUACCUGGUCUUGACAUCCAUAGAAUUCUGCAGAGAUGUGGGAGUGCCUUCGGGAACUAUGAGACAGGUGCUGCAUGGCUGUCGUCAGCUCGUGUUGUGAAAUGUUGGGUUAAGUCCCGCAACGAGCGCAACCCUUAUUCUUUGUUGCCAGCGAUUUGGUCGGGAACUCAAAGGAGACUGCCGUUGAUAAAGCGGAGGAAGGUGGGGACGACGUCAAGUCAUCAUGGCCCUUACGACCAGGGCUACACACGUGCUACAAUGGCGUAUACAAAGGGAAGCGAAGGUGCGAGCUGGAGCGGAUCUCAUAAAGUACGUCUAAGUUCGGAUUGGAGUCUGCAACUCGACUCCAUGAAGUCGGAAUCGCUAGUAAUCGUAGAUCAGAAUGCUACGGUGAAUACGUUCCCGGGCCUUGUACACACCGCCCGUCACACCAUGGGAGUGGGUUGCACCAGAAGUAGAUAGCUUAACCGCGAGGGGGGCGUUUACCACGGUGUGAUUCAUGACUGGGGUGAAGUCGUAACAAGGUAACCA
rnacentral:rRNA from 1 species